CAGCGCCACGGUAAUACGAAGGUCCCGAGCGUUGUUCGGAAUCACUGGGCGUAAAGGGAGCGUAGGCGGCGUGGUAAGUCAGAUGUGAAAUCCCGGGGCUCAACCCCGGAACUGCAUCCGAUACUGCCAUGCUAGAGGAUUGGAGAGGUAGCUGGAAUUCUUGGUGUAGCAGUGAAAUGCGUGGAGAUCAAGAGGAACACUCGUGGCGAAAGCGAGCUACUGGACAAUAACUGACGCUGAGGCUCGAAGGCCAGGGUAGCGAAAGGGAUUAGAUACCCCUGUAGUCCCUGUCUCUUAUACC
rnacentral:rRNA from 1 species